rnacentral:rRNA from 1 species
UACGGAGGAUCCGAGCGUUAUCCGGAUUUAUUGGGUUUAAAGGGUGCGCAGGCGGGAUGUUAAGUCGGCGGUGAAAUUUUGCAGCUCAACUGUAAAAGUGCCUUCGAUACUGGCCUCCUUGAGUGUGGAUGAAGUAGGCGGAAUUUGUGGUGUAGCGGUGAAAUUCUUAGAUAUCACGAGGAACUCCGAUUGCGCAGGCAGCUUACUAAACCACAACUGACGCUCAUGCACGAAGGCGUGGGGAUCAAACAGGAUUAGAUACCCUGGUAGUCCACGCAGUAAACGAUGAUUACUAGUUGUUUGCGAUACAAUGUAAGCGACUGAGCGAAAGCGAUAAGUUAUCCACCUGGGGAGUACGACCGCAAGGUUGAA